GGUCUUUUGUUUUUAUUUAAGAUCGGACCUGCCCAUUGAUAAAAAAUAUUAAAAGGCUGCGGUAUUUUAACUGUACGAAGGUAGCAUAAUCACUUGUCUUUUAAUUGGAGGCUAGAAUGAAUGGUUUGAUGAAAAAUUAACUUUCUUUAGAUAAUUAAUUUGAAUUUAAUUUUUUAGUUAAAAAGCUAGAAUUUUUUUAUAGGACGAGAAGACCCUAUAGAAGUUUACUUUUUAUAUAAAUUGAUUUUUUUAGAAUAUAAAAUAUUUUUUUAGAAUAAAAAGUUUUGUUGGGGUGACAUCGAAAUUUUUUUAACUUUCGUUUAUUUUUUUCAUUGAUUUAUGUUAUUUUGAUCCAGAAUUUUUGAUUAUAAGAUUAACUUACCUUAGGGAUAACAGCGUAAUUUUUUUGGAGAGUUCAUAUCGAUAAAUAAGUUUGCGA
rnacentral:rRNA from 1 species